rnacentral:lncRNA from 1 species
UCGUAAACUUUUUUAAGCACACUCACAUAUGUGUUUUUUCAUGAACAAUGUAGCCAAAUUUAGGUAAUCUUGACUUACAUCUAAAAAUUGACAAUGAGGGUCGGUUGAAAACAAAACUUUACGACAAAAGAGAUGAUUUCAGCUUUCCAAUUGUGAACUUUCCAUUUCUAAGUAGCAACAUUCCAGCAGCACCUGCAUACGGGGUAUAUAUCUCCGAAUUGAUAAGAUAUUCCCGUGCUUGCAUAUCCUAUCAUGAUUUUCUUGAUAGAGGGUUGCUGCUCACAAGGAAGCUAUUAAACUAAGAGUUCCAAAUGGUGAAGUUGAAAUCAUCCCUUCGUAAAUUUUACGGACGCCAUCACGAGUUGGUUGACCGUUAUGGAAUAACCGUAUCACAAAUGAUAUCGGAUAUGUUCCUUACGUCGUAGCUACAAUCCCCUUCCCUUUCCUGAAUGUGACCUACCGAAUUAGACUAUUUACCGGAUUUGUUAUCACAUAAGCAACACGACGGGUGCCGCAUGUGGAGCAGGAUCUGCUUACCCUUCCGGAGCACCUGAGAUCACCCCUAGUUUUUUGUGGGGUUCGUGUUGUUUAUUCUUUAGUUUUCUAUGUUGUGUCGUGUGUGCUGUUGUUUGUUUGUCUUUUUCAUUUUUAGCCAUGGCGUUGUCAGUUUGUUUUAGAUUUAUGAGUUUGACUGUCCCUUUGGUAUCUUUCGUCCCUCUUUUAGGUAAGUUUCAACGACUGAUAGAUUGAAUAUAAAGAUAAGAUUUGUACCUCCCCUCACGCAUUCACGAUGUCCUCAAUCAGAACCGAUUCCCUCACGCAUGACUUCAUGAAAAAAUUUAGUUUUUGGAAUUAUUAAGAUGUCUAUCAACGGCGGACAGCGCACACGCCGCCAAAAACAACAUUCAUACCCAUUGCCCGAAAAAAAAACUAAAUUUG